rnacentral:rRNA from 1 species
UAAUACCAGCUCCCCGAGUGGUGAGGACGAUUAUUGGGCCUAAAGCGUCCGUAGCCGGCUUGGUAAGUCUCCCGUUAAAUCCGACGAUCCAAUCGCCGGGGUGCGGGAGAUACUGCUAAGCUAGGAGGCGGGAGAGGCCGGCGGUACUUUUGGGGUAGGGGUGAAAUCCUAUAAUCCCAAAAGGACCACCAGUGGCGAAGGCGACCGGCCAGAACGCGCUCGACGGUGAGGGAUGAAAGCUGGGGGAGCGAACCGGAUUAGAUACCCGGGUAGUCCCAGCUGUAAACGAUGCGGGCUAAGUGUCGGAAUGGCUAUCGUGCCAUUUCGGUGCUGCAGGGAAGCCGUUAAGCCCGCCGCCUGGGGAGUACGGCCGCAAGGCUG